GUAGGUGGCAAGCGUUGUCCGGAAUUAUUGGGCGUAAAGCGCGCGCAGGCGGUCCUUUAAGUCUGAUGUGAAAGCCCACGGCUCAACCGUGGAGGGUCAUUGGAAACUGGGGGACUUGAGUACUGAAGAGGAAAGCGGAAUUCCAAGUGUAGCGGUGAAAUGCGUAGAGAUUUGGAGGAACACCAGUGGCGAAGGCGGCUUUCUGGUCUGUAACUGACGCUGAGGCGCGAAAGCGUGGGGAGCAAACAGGAUUAGAUACCCUGGUAGUCCACGCCGUAAACGAUGAGUGCUAAGUGUUAGGGGGUUUCCCGCCCCCUUAGUGCUGCAGCUAACGCAUUAAGCACUCCGCCUGGGGAGUACGGCCGCAAGGCUG
rnacentral:rRNA from 1 species